UCUUGACGGUACCUAAUCAGAAAGCCACGGCUAACUACGUGCCAGCAGCCGCGGUAAUACGUAGGUGGCAAGCGUUAUCCGGAAUUAUUGGGCGUAAAGGGCGCGUAGGCGGUUUCUUAAGUCUGAUGUGAAAGCCCCCGGCUCAACCGUGGAGGGUCAUUGGAAACUGGGAAACUUGAGUGCAAAAAAAGAAAGUGGAAUUCCACGUGUACGGUGAAAUGCGCAGAGAUAUGGAGGAACACCAGUGGCGAAGCGACUCUCUGGUCUGUAACUGACGCUUA
rnacentral:rRNA from 1 species